AGAAACCAACAGGGAUUGCCUUAGUAACGGCGAGUGAAGCGGCAACAGCUCAAAUUUGAAAUCUGGCCCCAGGCCCGAGUUGUAAUUUGCAGAGGAUGCUUUUGGCGCGGUGCCUUCCGAGUUCCCUGGAACGGGACGCCAUAGAGGGUGAGAGCCCCGUCUGGUUGGAUACCAAGCCUUUGUAAAGCUCCUUCGACGAGUCGAGUAGUUUGGGAAUGCUGCUCUAAAUGGGAGGUAUAUGUCUUCUAAAGCUAAAUACCGGCCAGAGACCGAUAGCGCACAAGUAGAGUGAUCGAAAGAUGAAAAGCACUUUGGAAAGAGAGUUAAACAGCACGUGAAAUUGUUAAAAGGGAAGCGUUUAUGACCAGACUUGGGCCGGUUAAUCAUCCAGCGUUCUCGCUGGUGCACUUUGCCGGUCCAGGCCAGCAUCAGUUCGCUGCGGGGGAUAAAGGCGUCGGGAAUGUGGCUCCUCCGGAGUGUUAUAGCCCUUCGCGCAAUACCCUGCGGUGGACUGAGGUUCGCGCAUCUGCAAGGAUGCUGGCGUAAUGGUCAUCAACGACCCGUCUUGAAACACGGACCAAGGAGUCGUCUUCGUAUGCGAGUGUUCGGGUGUAAAACCCCUACGCGUAAUGAAAGUGAACGCAGGUGAGAGCUUCGGCGCAUCAUCGACCGAUCCUGAUGUUCUCGGAUGGAUUUGAGUAAGAGCAUACGGGGCCGGACCCGAAAGAAGGUGAACUAUGCCUGUAUAGGGUGAAGCCAGAGGAAACUCUGGUGGAGGCUCGCAGCGGUUCUGACGUGCAAAUCGAUCGUCAAAUAUGGGCAUGGGGCGAAAGACUAAUCGACU
rnacentral:rRNA from 1 species